rnacentral:rRNA from 1 species
CACGUAGGGUGCAAGCGUUAAUCGGAAUUACUGGGCGUAAAGCGUGCGCAGGCGGUUGUGCAAGACCGAUGUGAAAUCCCCGGGCUUAACCUGGGACCUGCAUUUGUGACUGCAUUGCUAGAGUACGGUAGAGGGGGAUGGAAUUCCGCGUGUAGCAGUGAAAUGCGUAGAUAUGCGGAGGAACACCGAUGGCGAAGGCAAUCCCCUGGACCUGUACUGACGCUCAUGCACGAAAGCGUGGGGAGCAAACAGG